rnacentral:rRNA from 1 species
CUGCUGCCUCCCGUAGGAGUUUGGUCCGUGUCUCAGUACCAAUGUGGGGGGUUGACCUCUCAGUCCCCCUAUGUAUCGUCGCCUUGGUGAGCCGUUACCUCACCAACUAGCUAAUACAACGCAUGUCCAUCUCUGACCACCUGAGUUUUCAACCACCGAAGAUGCCUCCGGUGAUGUUAUGGGGUAUUAGUACCAAUUUCUCGAUGUUAUCCCCCUGUCAAAGGUAGGUUACAUACGCGUUACGCACCCGUCGCCGGUCGCCGGCA